GACGAACGCUGGCGGCGUGCUUAACACAUGCAAGUCGAACGGAAAGGCCCUGCUUUUGUGGGGUGCUCGAGUGGCGAACGGGUGAGUAACACGUGAGUAACCUGCCCUUGACUUUGGGAUAACUUCAGGAAACUGGGGCUAAUACCGGAUAGGAGCUCCUGCUGCAUGGUGGGGGUUGGAAAGUUUCGGCGGUUGGGGAUGGACUCGCGGCUUAUCAGCUUGUUGGUGGGGUAGUGGCUUACCAAGGCUUUGACGGGUAGCCGGCCUGAGAUGGUGACCGGCCACAUUGGGACUGAGAUACGGCCCAGACUCCUACGGGAGGCAGCAGUGGGGAAUAUUGCACAAUGGGCGGAAGCCUGAUGCAGCAACGCCGCGUGCGGGAUGACGGCCUUCGGGUUGUAUACCGCUUUCGCCUGUGACGAAGCGUGAGUGACGGUAAUGGGUAAAGAAGCACCGGCUAACUACGUG
rnacentral:rRNA from 1 species